GAUGAAGAACGUAGCGAAAUGCGAUACCUGGUGUGAAUUGCAGAAUCCCGCGAACCAUCGAGUCUUUGAACGCAAGUUGCGCCCGAGGCCACCCGGCCGAGGGCACGCCUGCCUGGGCGUCACGCCAAAACACGCUCCCACCCCCCCUCACCGGGGGAGCGGGACGCGGCGUCUGGCCCCCCGUGCCGCGAGGCGCGGUGGGCCGAAGAUCGGGCUGCCGGCGUACCGUGCCGGGCACAGCGCGUGGUGGAUCUCUACUCGGCGCAGUGCACCCGGCGCGUAGCCGGCGCAGCGGCCCCUAAGGACCCAACGAACGGAGCGCGAGCCGCUCCGACCGCGACCCCAGGUCAGGCGGGACUACCCGCUGAGUUUAAGCAUAUCAAAAGCGGAGGA
rnacentral:misc_RNA from 1 species